rnacentral:rRNA from 1 species
GAUGAACGCUAGCGACAGGCUUAACACAUGCAAGUCGAGGGGCAGCAUAAAAGUAGCAAUACUUUGGUGGCGACCGGCGCACGGGUGAGUAACGCGUAUGCAACCUACCUAUCAGAGGGGGAUAACCCGGCGAAAGUCGGACUAAUACCGCAUAAAACAGGGGCACCGCAUGGUGAUAUUUGUUAAAGAUUAAUUGCUGAUAGAUGGGCAUGCGUUCCAUUAGGUAGUUGGUGAGGUAAUGGCUCACCAAGCCGACGAUGGAUAGGGGAACUGAGAGGGUUGUCCCCCACACUGGUACUGAGACACGGACCAGACUCCUACGGGAGGCAGCAGUGAGGAAUAUUGGUCAAUGGGCGCAAGCCUGAACCAGCCAUCCCGCGUGAAGGAAGAAUGCGCUACGCGUUGUAAACUUCUUUUCCAGGGGGAGAAUAAUCCUGUCGUGACAGGACUUGACGGUACUCUGGGAAUAAGCAUCGGCUAACUCCGUGCCAGCA